rnacentral:rRNA from 1 species
AAAAUAUUUAUAGGUAUGAGAUGGSCCCGCGUCUGAUUAGCUGGUUGGUGAGGUAACGGSCUCACCAAGGCGACGAUCAGUASCCGGCUKGARAGAGUGACCGGCCMCAUGGGRMYURAGACMCGGCCCAAAMCUCYUACGGGAGGCCAGCAGKGGGGGAAUAUKCCCCAAKGGGGGAAMCCCKAAUGCAGSGMCSCCGCGUGAGUAAAGAAGUAYUUCGGUAUKAAAACUUCUAUAACAAGGGAAGMCGAKGMCGGUCCCUGMUUAAGAAGCCCCGCCUAMUUACGUGCCAGCAGCCGCGGUAAUACGUAGGGGGCAAGCGUUAUCCGGAUUUACUGGGUGUAAAGGGAGCGUAGGUGGUGAAGCAAGUCAGAUGUGAAAGCCCGGGGCUCAACUCCGGGACUGCAUUUGAAACUGUUUUGCUAGAGUGCAGGAGAGGUAAGUGGAAUUCCUAGUGUAGCGGUGAAAUGCGUAGAUAUUAGGAGGAACACCAGUGGCGAAGGCGGCUUACUGGACUGUAACUGACACUGAGGCUCGAAAGCGUGGGGAGCAAACAGGAUUAGAUACCCUGGUAGUCCACGCCGUAAACGCUGCUCUAGGUGUCGGGGAGCAAAAGCUCUUCGGUGCCGUCGCAAACGCAUUAAGUAU